UGAAUGUGUGUCGCCUGUUGAAGGUGGCCCCCUUGCAGCAGUGCAUGCAAAGUUGGCCUGUGUGUGGGAGGUUGGAGGACAGCAGCUCGCUGUAAAAGGCUGGAAGCCCAAAACUCAACCCCCUGACGUUUCUGGAGCAUACUUUGAGAUCCUCAAAUAAAAGGUUACUUCCACCUAUCUGCCUAACUUCACCUCUGCCUGCUCCAGAUGAAAUCAGCCCUCCAGCAACCAAGCCUGGGAUCCAGCAAGCUCUAGCAGCAGUCAGUCCCAGCUAAGGAGGAUUUGUAGGCUGUGCUAUUGUGCUUUAUUUCCUCCGCUGUGCACUGAACAGAAAGGAAAUCAGACCCCUGUUACCAUCAGGAGAGACAACCUAUCAGUCUUCUCAACCUGCUUUGUCCCCUCAGAGGGAAGAGGAUGGGGCUGCUGAAAGGCAAUGUCAUCUAUUCCUGCCAUGUCAGCAACACUUCACAGUAUCAGAGGCAGCUGACGGAUUGGAAAGGAGAGUCGUAACUUUAUUAACCACUUCUCUUGUGUUGAGCUGCUUUAGUAGAAAUCUGAAUAGCUGGCUCAUCCCCUGGGUUUAUUGGACGCGGUUUGUUUUGCAAGUGGGAAAACAAUUGUGAGUUUCAUGCCUCAAUGAGCUAACGUGUUUACACAACACUGCUGAUGCAGCAGAAACAGGAUACAAUAUGUGUCAAAUAUUGCUUGGGCUGCAGGCAAAAUAACUGUUGAGCUGAAAGGCAGUGCUUUGUGCAGGACUCCUUUUGCCAGAGGCAGCUGUCGGGUACGUGUGAGGGAAAGGAGAGGGGAGCGGGGCUCGGUGUUCAAAUCCCUUGUUGCAAUGUGGUUCCCAGAAUGAGGAGAAGUUUUCCAAGGUUGCUACUGCUCUUCUGCUGGUAGUGAAUAAUAACUAUUCCUAUCAAUUAAUCUGUUUAAAGCGGAACUUGAACGGCACAUAGACCUCAGCUUCGCCCUUAGGAUCUGACUCAAAGCCUUCUGAAGCCAGUGGGAGCCUUUCCCCUGACUUUGGUGCAAUGCUCGUUUCUUAUUUUGGAUUUUCAGGAGACAGAUUUGCACAGCCUAAUUUCUGUAUCGGGAUGUCUGCACAGCAAGGAGAGAGGGAGCUUGGCUUUUUCUGACACACAAUAAUGCAGAGCACAGAAAGAUGGGCAUUUCAGAUGAUUGGUUUAAAAGAGCUAUCCUAUAAUGGCAGCACAAUUACAAGCCUGCAGGGAAAAUUUCUGGGCUUUUGUAUAAAGAGGAGCAAAGAAGAACACAAAAAGAUUUUACUGAGUUACAGUGCCAGGGUUUCAGUUACUAGUUCUGUAGGAAAGCCAAGAAGAGGGCUUAACUAAAGAUAUUUCCAGCACCGAGCCCAUAUACAAAAUGGGUGGAUGUGCAAGAGCAGGGCAGGAGGCAGAAUGGGAAAGGAAAAGGGGGCGCGAUACAGGGACAAACUGCCACAAACAAGCAUCACCACAGAAAGCGGCCAGACCAGUGAGGAGCAGAGAGACUUUCUGGACAGAGAAGGGUGGUCUGAUGCUCUCCAAAUAAAUGAAGAUUUUAAAAAAGGAAAAGAAAGGGAAAAAGAGAGAGUGAAAUCAGCUGCCAAGGAGUGCUGGGGCCAGAAAAAGCAACAAAGCCCUAUUUUUAAUGUAACUUUUUUUUUUCUGCCAGUAAAAAAUCAAAUGAUAAAAUAGGCUAGAGAAAGGAAGCAAUUGGGAAUGGCUGAAGAGGAUUCCCAGCUGUGCUUGCAAUCAGUGCAAUUCAUGACUCACAACAUGCUGGCCACAUCACUUCCCAGGAGCGACAUAUUCUCAUGAACAAGCAAAACAAGUCGGAGACAAUCUUUAAAGGCUUUUUGGAUCAUUCAUGGCUUAGUUGUGAAAUCGCCCAUGAAGCAGCUCGCUGGCUUUGAGGGUCAGGGUAAUUUGAGGAUUGGUCAGCUUUCCUUUUUUUUCUGCUUCAGCUGCCACCCCAUCCACCAGCCCUUGGCGGCGCGGCUGAGGACAUCCUUUCUUUUCCGUCUUCUGACUGAGAGGAAGAGCUGGAAAUGAAACUGGUUUGCUGGCUUUGAAGCAGUUCUUGUCCUUCCAGUUUCCCACAAGGACCUUCUGCUACACUGCAAAGAGUGAAAAUAAAGCAUCUGAAAACAAUAUUUGUAUCUUUAUGCAAAACCAAAUGGCUCAGAAUUGACUGCCUGUAUUUAGGUCUUGCUAGUUCUCACCUGGCUGGUACGUAAAUCAUCUGAUUCAAGUGAUAACACGGCAGGUCCCUCCAAAUCUCAGCUUUAAUUCAACUGGGUCAGACUGCUGCUUUUACUGAGUAAUAUUUUUUAAAAUAGAACUGUGCAGUUGCUCUACCGCACAGUAAAAUGAUUAGCAAUAUA